AAGGAAAAAGAAACGGUGGUUUAUCAAACCCUGUUGGAGCUUUUCUUUGAGAGGCCAUCGGUGAUUGGAGCUGUUCAAGGCAUGAUAACCGGCCUUAUUUGCAUCACUCCGGGAGCAGGUAGGUCUUUGUAUGAUCGUAGUUACGAGGGUUGACCAUGGACAAUUUUGUUGGUACUGUGCAUGCAGGGGCGGUGCAAUCGUGGGCGGCGAUAGUGAUGGACUGAUGGGUAUAAUGCCAGCAGCGUUCCAUGGUCUACAGGAAGUCUUUGUUCCUACAGAAGGUGGAUGAUACGCUUGGGGUAUUCCACACGCACGCAGUGGCGGAGCUGUUAGGCGGAGUACUGAGGGGCUAUUGGCGGAGCCGGUCCUUUGCCGGCUCAUCUUACCGGUGGGGAAGGAGGGGUACAGUUACUGAAGCAAUUGGGUACAGUCACCAGAGUUGUUAACUCCGCCUUCGAAUUGAGAGAAUCUCUGCCAUCGGGAUUGGUUGGAGAAGGUAUUGAAGCGAAGAGGAAAACCACUAAGUUUGAUGGGAUGCAAAAAAAUGGAAACCGAAAUUUUAAACAGCUCCUGACUGGUUUUUUUCUGCAGUUUUUUUAAGUGAAAUUUUGAAGGGAAGACGAGAGAUAUUGUUAACUCCGCCUUCAUAUCUCUGCCGUUUUUUUUUUUUUUUACAGAGUAUGCAAAAAAUUUAUAGGAUUUAAAC